CCUACGGGUGGCAGCAGUGAGGAAUAUUGGUCAAUGGCCGGAAGGCUGAACCAGCCAUGCCGCGUGAAGGUCAGUGCCAUAUGGACGGUAAACUUCUUUUGUUCGGGAGCAAUAAUGGUCACGUGUGGCCAGACGAGCGUACCGUACGAAUAAGCAUCGGCUAACACCGUGCCAGCAGCGGCGGUAAUACGGGGGAUGCAAGCGUUAUCCGGAUUGAGUGGGUUUAAAGGGUGGGUAGGCUGUGAGGUAAGUCAGCGGUGAAAUGCCCCCGCUCAACGGGGUGAAGUGCUAUUGAAACUGCCUUGCUGGAAUGCGGAUGAGGUGGGAGGAAUGUGUGGUGUAGCGGUGAAAUGCAUAGAUAUCA
rnacentral:rRNA from 1 species